rnacentral:pre_miRNA from 1 species
GUAGUACUCCCUCCGUUUGGAAUUACUUGUCACAAAAAUGGAUGUAUCUACAACUAAAAUACAUCUAGAUACAUUCAUUUCUUGGACGAGUAAUUCCGAAUGGAGGGAGUAUGUA